GCCUCCCUCCGCCGCCACUCAGACUACCUACCGGGGCGACGGCAGUGGGAAGGUUUGGUCGGCAAUGGGAAACCGUCGACGCAGCAACGACCGCCGUCGGGAGGGAGUGAAAUACCCUUCGGGAGUGUAAACUCCUUUCGAUCGGGAAGAUAAUGACGGUACCGAGAGAAGAAGACCCGGCUAACUUCGUGCCAGCAGCCCGGUAAUUC
rnacentral:rRNA from 1 species